UACGGAGGGUGCGAGCGUUGUCCGGAAUCACUGGGCGUAAAGGGCGCGUAGGUGGCGCGGGCAGUCAACGGUGAAAGCUCGGGGCUCAACCCCGAGUCGGCCGUCGAUACUCCCGUGCUUGAGCACUGUAGAGGCAGGUGGAAUUCCGGGUGUAGCGGUGGAAUGCGUAGAGAUCCGGAAGAACACCGGUGGCGAAGGCGGCCUGCUGGGCAGUAGCUGACGCUGAGGAGCGAAAGCAUGGGUAGCGAACAGG
rnacentral:rRNA from 1 species